GUCCCUCCCUCUAAAACCACUCUGUGUGGGGAACAUGAGAGCCAGACCAAAGCUCAGAGGAAGAAACCUGCACCUCCACCCAGCUCUGUGUUCUUACAGAGUGACCGGUCUAAAGAUGGUGAUCCUGACUUUCAAUCAGGCGUGUGUCGUCCUGCAGAGAGAGGUCAGAGGUCACAGUCUGCAGGGUCCAGCUGUCCGUCUGUGAGGAGUGACCGG